GCUCUAGAUGUGAUGAGUUUGUCAUGUCUCUUCUCUGACUAUCACUGGAGAAAGAUUUAACACCUCUGAUCUCAGCAUGAGU
ensembl:snoRNA